AGCGGGUUGGAGUAGCCAGGUUAUCUCGUCGGGCUCAUAACCCGGAGACCGAUCGUUCAAAUCGAUCACCCGCUA
rnacentral:tRNA from 1 species